rnacentral:rRNA from 1 species
UACGUAGGGUGCAAGCGUUGUCCGGAAUUAUUGGGCGUAAAGAGCUCGUAGGCGGUUUGUCGCGUCUGCUGUGAAAACCCGAGGCUCAACCUCGGGCCUGCAGUGGGUACGGGCAGACUAGAGUGCGGUAGGGGAGAUUGGAAUUCCUGGUGUAGCGGUGGAAUGCGCAGAUAUCAGGAGGAACACCGAUGGCGAAGGCAGCUCGCUGGGACGGUACUGACGCUAAGGCGCGAAAGCGUGGGGAGCGAACAGG